rnacentral:rRNA from 1 species
UAGGGAAUCUUCCGCAAUGUNNCGAAAGCCUGACGGAGCAACGCCGCGUGAGUGAUGAAGGUCUUCGGAUCGUAAAACUCUGUUAUCAGGGAAGAACAAAUGUGUAAGUAACUGUGCACAUCUUGACGGUGCCUGAUCAGAAAGCCACGGCUAACUACGUGCCAGCAGCCGCGGUAAUACGUAGGUGGCAAGCGUUAUCCGGAAUUAUUGGGCGUAAAGCGCGCGUAGGCGGUUUUUUAAGUCUGAUGUGAAAGCCCACGGCUCAACCGUGGAGGGUCAUUGGAAACUGGAAAACUUGAGUGCAGAAGAGGAAAGUGGAAUUCCAUGUGUAGCGGUGAAAUGCGCAGAGAUAUGGAGGAACACCAGUGGCGAAGGCGACUUUCUGGUCUGUAACUGACGCUGAUGUGCGAAAGCGUGGGGAUCAAACAGGAUUAGAUACCCUGGUAGUCCACGCCGUAAACGAUGAGUGCUAAGUGUUAGGGGGUUUCCGCCCCUUAGUGCUGCAGCUAACGCAUUAAGCACUCCGCCUGGGGAGUACGACCGCAAGGUUG